GGGGACCUCUCGUCACCAAUAUAAUGUGGAGAAACCUAUUAAUACAGGCUCUGUAUCAAGUUACAGUCCUCCUAAUCCUCAAUUUCCGAGGUGAACAAAUUCUUCAUUUGGAGCAUGAGACGAGGGAGCAUGCUGUUAAAGUGAAGAAUACCUUGAUUUUCAAUGCUUUUGUCCUGUGUCAGGUUUUCAAUUAAUUCAAUGCUCGGAAGCCAGAUAAGAUAAAUGUAUUCAGAGGAGUCCACAAAAACCGUCUGUUGAGCUUUUAAAUGUUCUGACUUUUGUCGUUGAAGUAGUUUUAAAUUUGAGUUGUUGCUCUGUUUUGGAUUGAGACACUUUAUGGGGAAUGUAAGAAUACUCUUUCCUUGAUUAUUACAUAUUGAAUUUCUUUUGAAUUUGAGACAGAUUUCUUUUCUAGAGCCUACAUCAAGGAAGAUGAAAGUGUAGGAUUUGCCAUGAUAGUGAUGAAGAUUCAAACAUGGAGAUUCCCUACUCUUACCGUGGAACCCUCAAGGUUUAUUAAGCUAGUUGUUUUACUCAUUUGAAGCCCAUGGAUGCAGAGCAACAUAGAGAAUAUGGUCACAAGAUAGGUGAAUUUCUUAGCAGAUUAUUACAAGAACAAUGAGAACUCACUGUUUUCAGUCAAGUUCAGGUUUUUACAACAACCUAUCAAUUUCUUUUUGUAUCCUUACCAUGCACUUGCCAAGAAUUAGUUUCCCGUAGAAAGUUUAGCCCUUGCAUGACAGUG